AAUGCAUGCCAAGUUUUUCCAUGUUUCUCACGUAUUUGAACUUUUUUCCCGCAGUCUUCCCGUUUUAAUAUUUUCCCGUAAAAUAUCCCGUAUUUUAA